CAUAGUUAUCUGGGGAGAGGGAUGAGAACCUUCGAUCAAGGUUCGAGUCGAGCAUCGCGAGACAACGCGCGCAAGCGCGGCCCGCAGG
rnacentral:sRNA from 1 species